AUGAACGCUAGCGACAGGCUUAACACAUGCAAGUCGAGGGGCAGCGGGGGUAGCAAUACCCGCCGGCGACCGGCGCACGGGUGAGUAACGCGUAUGCAACUUACCUAUCAGAGGGGGAUAACCCGGCGAAAGUCGGACUAAUACCGCAUGAAGCAGGGGCCCCGCAUGGGGAUAUUUGCUAAAGAUUCAUCGCUGAUAGAUAGGCAUGCGUUCCAUUAGGCAGUUGGCGGGGUAACGGCCCACCAAACCGACGAUGGAUAGGGGUUCUGAGAGGAAGGUCCCCCACAUUGGUACUGAGACACGGACCAAACUCCUACGGGAGGCAGCAGUGAGGAAUAUUGGUCAAUGGCCGAGAGGCUGAACCAGCCAAGUCGCGUGAGGGAUGAAGGUUCUAUGGAUCGUAAACCUCUUUUAUAAGGGAAUAAAGUGCGGGACGUGUCCCGUUUUGUAUGUACCUUAUGAAUAAGGAUCGGCUAACUCCGUGCCAGCAGCCGCGGUAAUACGGAGGAUCCGAGCGUUAUCCGGAUUUAUUGGGUUUAAAGGGUGCGUAGGCGGCCUUUUAAGUCAGCGGUGAAAGUCUGUGGCUCAACCAUAGAAUUGCCGUUGAAACUGGGGGGCUUGAGUAUGUUUGAGGCAGGCGGAAUGCGUGGUGUAGCGGUGAAAUGCAUAGAUAUCACGCAGAACCCCGAUUGCGAAGGCAGCCUGCCAAGCCAUUACUGACGCUGAUGCACGAAAGCGUGGGGAUCAAACAGGAUUAGAUACCCUGGUAGUCCACGCAGUAAACGAUGAUCACUAGCUGUUUGCGAUACAGUGUAAGCGGCACAGCGAAAGCGUUAAGUGAUCCACCUGGGGAGUACGCCGGCAACGGUGAAACUCAAAGGAAUUGACGGGGGCCCGCACAAGCGGAGGAACAUGUGGUUUAAUUCGAUGAUACGCGAGGAACCUUACCCGGGUUUGAACGCAUUCGGACCGAGGUGGAAACACCUUUUCUAGCAAUAGCCGUUUGCGAGGUGCUGCAUGGUUGUCGUCAGCUCGUGCCGUGAGGUGUCGGCUUAAGUGCCAUAACGAGCGCAACCCUUGCCACUAGUUACUAACAGGUGAUGCUGAGGACUCUGGUGGGACUGCCAGCGUAAGCUGCGAGGAAGGCGGGGAUGACGUCAAAUCAGCACGGCCCUUACAUCCGGGGCGACACACGUGUUACAAUGGCGUGGACAAAGGGAGGCCACCUGGCGACAGGGAGCGAAUCCCCAAACCACGUCUCAGUUCGGAUCGGAGUCUGCAACCCGACUCCGUGAAGCUGGAUUCGCUAGUAAUCGCGCAUCAGCCAUGGCGCGGUGAAUACGUUCCCGGGCCUUGUACACACCGCCCGUCAAGCCCUGGGAGCCGGGGGUACCUGAAGUCCGUAACCGAAAGGAUCGGCCUAGGGUAAAACUGGUGACUGGGGCU
rnacentral:rRNA from 1 species